rnacentral:rRNA from 1 species
GAUGAACGCUGGCGGCGUGCCUAAUACAUGCAAGUCGAACGAAGGGACGGGAAGUUGGUUCUCUGGAUGUUAGCGGCGGGCGGGAGUGUAACGUGGGUAUCAUGUACGGAUGAGGCGGGGAUAACUUCGGAAAGCUAGAUAUAAUACCAUAUGAUAUGAUGUACCAUAUGGUUCAAAAGAGAAAUGCAAUUUUGCCGUUACUAAUAGGUGCUGCGGCGUGGAAUCGGCUAGUUGGUAAGGUAACGGCUUACCAAGGCAACGAUGCAUAGCCGAGCGGAGAGGGGGUUGGGCAACCCUGGAACUGAGACACGGUCCGGCCUCCUCCGGGAGGCACCAGUGGGGAACCUUGGGAAAUGGGCGAAAGCCUGACGGAGCACCGCCGCGUGGGUGAUGAAGGUCUCCGGUUCGUAAAACCCUUUUAAUGGGGAAGAAGAUAUGUGGAAUUAAAUGUGCACAUCUUGACGGUACCUAAUCAGAAAGCCACGGCUAACUACGUG